rnacentral:rRNA from 1 species
UACAGAGGUCUCAAGCGUUGUUCGGAUUCAUUGGGCGUAAAGGGUGCGUAGGCGGCGCGGUAAGUCGGGUGUGAAAUCUCGGAGCUUAACUCCGAAACUGCAUUCGAUACUGCCGUGCUUUGAGGACUGGAGAGGAGACUGGAAUUUACGGUGUAGCGGUGAAAAUGCGUAGAUAUCGUAAGGAAGACCAGUGGCGAAGGCGGGGUCUCUGGACAUUCCUGACGCUGAGGGCACGAAGGUCAGGGGGGAGCAAAACGGGG